UACGAAGAGGGCUAGCGUUGCUCGGAAUCACUGGGCGUAAAGCGCACGUAGGCGGCUUUUUAAGUCAGAGGUGAAAUCCUGGAGCUCAACUCCAGAACUGCCUUUGAUACUGGAGAGCUUGAGUCCGGGAGAGGUGAGUGGAACUGCGAGUGUAGAGGUGAAAUUCGUAGAUAUUCGCAAGAACACCAGUGGCGAAGGCGGCUCACUGGCCCGGUACUGACGCUGAGGUGCGAAAGCGUGGGGAGCAAACAGG
rnacentral:rRNA from 1 species